UUACACUAAAAAUAUAACAUGUCUUUAUUAACCAUGUCUCUGCAUAUUCAAUUUAAGCAUAUUCAACUUGAUAUUCUUGGAAAGUUUAGUUAAGUUCUUGUUAUAAUCUUAUAUUUUACGUAUUAGUUAUAAGGAUAGCUCUUCAAACAUCUUUCAAAUUACUUGUUUUCUUAGCAUAAAUCUCGAAAAGCUUAUAUAUAUUUAAUCUGCAUAUUCAUUUAGUUUUUUUCAUAAUAAUCGUCUAAUUUUUAGACAAGAAAUAUGUGUAACAUGUUUGGAUUUUAUCAUCACUUUAACCACUUAAGUGGAUCUCAAAAUUAAAGAGGAUAUAUUGAAUUAAAAAAUGUAAAAAGAGUGAUGGUUCAAGUUCUCAUUAAUUAUAUCCUCCUAUUUUAGUUGUUAUGUUGAAUUAAUUACUAAUUAUGUAUUACUUAUUUUAUGAAGUCUAGGUGGCAAGCUCCUCAUGUGCUGAUUUGUCAAGUUGUGGAAGAGAGUUAGCUUUCUUUCAUAUAUAUAUGAUUGUUAUACAUGUUUUAACAUCAUUUUACAACUAACUUUCUUU
rnacentral:sRNA from 1 species